UGCCCUCUGCCCCGUGCCAAGCAGAAAAAGUGUGAGGUCUGCGAGUCAUCCUGCUACAGCCGGAGACUCAGCCUGAACCAGUCAGCGUGAAUGUGAGACCCUGCGAACAUGGAGGCCGGUAAAGAGGGGGAAUUUCAUGCGGAGAAGAGCAGCCUGUUCACUUCUAAGGGCAAUGUUAACAGCUCCAUUUUCUUUGCCUUGGGAAU
rnacentral:lncRNA from 1 species